rnacentral:lncRNA from 1 species
UUAAACAAAUCGAGUUAUUCGAAUCAACUCGAAUUUUUUUUUAAAUUUCAAGUUCGAAUCAAGUUGAGUUUUCAAAUUCAAAUAACUCGAAUAAUUCGAAUAUCAAACUAUAAUAUUUUACAUUUUUACCCCAAACUCCCAAACCUUUUUACUUUUCCCUCAAAACUUUUACUCCUUCCCACUUUCCCCCAAAACUUUUACUCCCCUCCCAACCCCCCAAUCUACCCAAAAUCCAUUUCCCACCAAAAUUUUACUCCCAAAAACCCUCAAAACCUUUUACUUUCCCCCAAAAUUUUUACUCUCUCCCACUUUUUCCCUAAAACUUUUAUUCCCUUCCCAUCCCACCUCUCAUCUACCCCAAACCCUCCCCCCUCCAAAUUUUUUUUAAUAUUUUCCCUCCAAAAUUUUACUCUCCCUAUUUACUUUCCCUCAAACUUUUAUUCCCCAAAACUUUUUAUUUUCCCCCUAAACUUUUACUUCUCACCCUUUACUCUC